GAGUCAAUUUCUAGCUACUUCUCAGACUGAAAUGCUUUCACUUAAUCAUGACUGUAAAAAAAAAGGGAAAUCUAACUGAAAAUUCCAACUUGCUCACCUUGCCGAAUUUUUCAAAUGUCUUCAGUGAAGAUACAGUGAUUUUAAUGGAGAUUAUAUACCUGCAAUUUUAAUUAAAUGUAUACAGGAUUCUCAAAUUAAAAAUUUUUAACAAAUUUUUUAAAUUUGAAUCUAGUCACUUUUAACUGAAAAAUUAUGACAUUUUAAGUUUUUUUAAGACAUCUUUUAUAUAUUCUUUUUAAAGUUUUUGAUGUGUUCAAAAUUAAUUUGAUCUUUUUAAAUGUGGUAAAAAAUUGUAUUAUGUAACUUAAAUUGUUCUUAAUUUUAUUUUUUAAUAAAUUUAGAAAUU
rnacentral:misc_RNA from 1 species